rnacentral:rRNA from 1 species
AGCAGCCGCGGUAAUUCCAGCUCCAAUAGCGUAUAUUAAAGUUGUUGCAGUUAAAAAGCUCGUAGUUGAAUUUCGGGAUCAGAUUGUCGGUCGUGCCUCGGUACGCACUGGCAUUAUUGGUUCCUACCUUCUGAAGAACCGCGAUGUCAUUAAUUUGGUGUCGUGGGGAAUCAGGACUGUUACUUUGAAAAAAUUAGAGUGUUUAAAGCAGGCGCACGCUUGAAUACAUUAGCAUGGAAUAAUGAAAUAGGACGUUUGAUUCUAUUUUGUUGGUUUCUAGGAUCGACGUAAUGAUUAAUAGGGAUAGUUGGGGGCAUUAGUAUUCAAUUGACAGAGGUGAAAUUCUUGGAUUUAUUGAAGACUAACUACUGCGAAAGCAUUUGCCAAGGAUGUUUUCAUUAAUCAAGAACGAAAGUUAGGGGAUCGAAGACGAUCAGAUACCGUCGUAGUCUUAACCAUAAACUAUGCCGACUAGGGAUCGGAUGAUGUUAAUUUUUUAAUGACUCA